GCGGUGAAAUGCGUAGAUAUCUAUCGGAACGCCGAAGGUGAAAACAGGCAGCUGGGCUUGAUCUGACGCUGAGGUACGAAAGCGUGGGGAGCGAACGGGAUUAGAUACCCCGGUAGUCCACGCCGUAAACGAUGUGCACUUGAUCAGGGUGGUUCUGACAUCUCCCGGAUCGAAGCAAAAGUGUUUAGUGCACCGCCUGGGGAGUACGGUCGCAAGGCUAAAACUCAAAGGAAUUGACGG
rnacentral:rRNA from 1 species